rnacentral:misc_RNA from 1 species
GUAAUAUUGGGCCUCAGUUUAUAGCGCCGAAAUCAGGAGCAAGGAGAGCGUUUUCUUCUCGGCCACUGACCCAAAUGGAAACCGGCGGAUUAGACUCCGAUGGCCGUACCUUUAAAAACGCGGAGGAGAUGUGGAGAGAAGAAGUAGGGGAUGGUGAUCCCCAGAAGAAGUUCCAGUGGUACAACAAAGGCAUCAAUUACUGGCAAGGCGUGGAAGCUACAGUGGAUGGAGUGCUGGGUGGAUAUGGGCAUGUGAAUACGCCUGAUAUAAAGGCAAGUGAGGAUUUUCUCAACACCAUUUUGGCUGAAAGGUUCCCUGAUGCUGGAAGAGGCCGCCAUCUCGUAACUCUCGAUUGUGGAUCUGGCAUUGGAAGGAUUACUAAAAAUCUUCUUAUACGAUAUUUCAAUGAGGUCGACCUCCUAGAGCCUGUAUCACAUUUUUUGGAAUCUGCUCGGGUUAAUUUGGCUCCUGAAAAUUUAAUGGUGUCAGAGUUGCACAAAGCUGCCAACUUUUAUUGUGUCCCACUUCAGGAAUUUACUCCUGAUGCUGAAAGAUAUGACGUUAUUUGGGUUCAGUGGUGC